rnacentral:lncRNA from 1 species
AUCCCUAAAUUAAUUCAUAUCCUUGGAUCCCAUUCAUGUGUGAAUCCCUCGGUCCAGUCCAUCCUAUGCUAUCGCUUAUCCUGAAAAAAUAUCAUUCGUGGUAAGUUUCAAAACUUAGUACGUGGAUAUCUAUUAAAUCUAUUAGUUCAUAAAUUCUUCCUUUUCCUUUACAUGGAUCAUCGGUUAACCCUCCCCAUGCCGUCAAACCCCGUCGGGUCAUAUAGCCUCGUCAGGCCCGUUAAGUUCCAUUCGUUCCUUGUAUCGUCAAAUCCCUAAGGAUCCGUAAAUUCGUAUAAUGGCAUAAAAGAAAAUUGGGAGAUCGCAUGGUCUAAUAAAAACCCAAAAUGCACAAAAAAAACCAAAGGUGAUGUAAAACCUUAAAUAAUAAAAUAGUCAGACCCACCUAUCGAUUUUAUUGAUUAAAAUCGAUUCGAUGAGCGUCCCAUGUAGGUGUCCGAGCCUUAAGCAAGUGCUUCUAUAGCCCUAGGGCAGCGUGAAUCCUGAACUUGGGAUCUUAUGGAGUAAAAUCCGCGAUUUUGGUCCCGUGUUCUUAAGGAUUCGUUGCUGUCCAGCAGCUCUUAUGUGCCUGAAAUUAACAUGGAAACUAGAGCAUCAAACAUGCAUAACCUAGGAGAAAAGGAACUUGCAACUUCGUUGCUGUCCAGCAGCGUUUGUGCGCCUGAAAACAACACAAGAUGGAUUAUAAAACCAACAUCCAUCCGGAAUAAAGACUAGCAACUACGUUGCUGUUCAGUAGCAUUUAUGCGCCUGAAUUAAAACAGAAAUAGCGACGAAAAUCCGCAAUAAUCAGAAAUAAAAACUUGUAAAUUCGCUGCUGUCCAGCCACAUUUAUGCGUAUGAAAACAGCAUGAAAAUAGAGCAUAGGCCAGCAUCAAUCAGGAAUAAAGACAAACAAUUCUGUUACUGUCCAGCAGCAUUUAUGCACCUGAUUCAAACCAGAAAGCAGAGACGAAAACUCGCAAUAAUCCGGAAUAAAAUUUAUCAAGUCAUGGCUGUCCAGCCGUAUUUAUGCGCUUGGAAUCAGCACUAAAACAGAGCAUAAAACCAACAUCAAACGAGAAUAAAGACUUGCAACUCCGUUACUUUCCAUCAACAUUUAUGCGCCCGAAUCAAAACAAAAAUAGAGUAACACCGUAAUAAAACACUAGCGAAAAACUAAAAAUCGGGAAUGAAGACUAGCAUUGAAUAUUGUGAAGAUCCUCUUCACCCCUAAGCCUAGGAGUGUUAACAUGACUACAAUUAUUAAACCGUGGAACACCAAAGACUAGCAUAACAACAACAAAAACGUUACCUUCUUGCACCAUUUCACCUCAUCUCUAUAACAUGACCUUUCAACUACAUAUACUACUAAAAGAAUCUUAUACCCACGUACCUUGAUCACUUCUUUAACCUUUUCUCUUCCCCUUCCAAGCCCUAGCCGAGAUCCUUCCCUUCCUCCUCCUUCAAUUUGCGUUUCCCUCUUCUUUUUCUUUUUCCCUCUUCUCUUCCCCCAAUGUAUUCUCUUAAAUCCUAAUUCCUCUCCUCCAACCGUUCCCCCUCUUUCCUUUUUCUCCUCCUCAAUUACUUCUAAAAAUACAGAAUAUUCUCCCCUUUUUAUUUGACUCAAUUGCCCCUAAUUCAAAAUAUUUAUAUUCUGAAUUUUCUUUGACUUAAUUGUCCCCAAUUUCAAAUCCUAUUUCCAAAUUUCAAAUCCUAUUUCCAAAUUUCAAAUUUAAAGUUUCAAAUUCCCAUUGACUAAAUUACCCCUAAUUUGAAAUCCUAUUUAUUUUCUUGUUUAAUUAACCUUAACCCCUAGUCGACUAGCAUACUUGACUAGCCUAAUUGAUCUUAACCCAACAGGUUAGACCGAGUUGCCUUAUUUUUUGUUAAUUUUUUCCCCAAGGCUGCUCCUGUCGUUAGGGUUUCCUUUUCCUAUUAAGACCCCAAUUUUCAGAAUAUUACAUUCUUUCCCCCUAAAACAAGAAUUUCGUCCUCGAAAUAUUAUUAUGUAAUUGACGUACCAAAUAGAUCUGGGAAUUUCUCCCGCAUCUUCUUCUCGUCCUCCCAUGUUGCUUCUUCUGGUCCAUGGUGUUCCCACUGGACCUUCACCAUCUUUAUUGUUCUUCCCCGUAGUUGUCUUUCUCUAGUUUCCAGAAUCUUAGUGGGUCCCUCUUGAACAGAUAGGUCAUGCUCGAAGUCGAACAUCUCGUAUCUCAGUGUGUGACUCGGGUCUGCUACGUACUUGCGUAGCAUGGAUAUGUGGAAGACAUCAUGUACCUUUGCCAGUUGUGGUGGUAGUGUCAACCUGUACGCAGUGUCCCCUAUACGCUCUGAAAUUUGAAAUGGUCCUAUGAAUCUUGCGCUUAGCUUUCCUUUUAGUCCGAACCUCUUAAGCCCUUUGUUCGGAGCUACUUUCAGAAAGACGUGGUCUCCUUCCUUGUGCUGCAAGUCUCUCCGCCGCUUAUCCGCGUAACUCUUUUGUCUACUUUGUGCUGCUAGCAGUCGUUUCCUAAUAAUCCCAAUGUUUUUGUUUGACUCCUCCACCAGAUCUGGUCCCGAGAUGUGUUUUUCACCCACCUCUGCCCAACAUAAUGGUGACCUGCAAGGUCGUCCGUAUAAUGCUUCGAAAGGUGCCAUUUCAAUACUUGUAUGAUAGCUGUUAUUGUACGCAAACUCCACCAAUGGUAGUUGUUCUUCCCAUCCCAUAUCAAAAUCCAUAACGCACGCUCUCAACAUGUCCUCCAGAGUUUGUAUUGUACGCUCUGAUUGUCCAUCAGUUUGAGGAUGAAAUGCCGUGCUCAAUUUAAGCUGUGAGCCCAUGGCCUCUUGUAGGCCUCCCCAAAACCGCGAAGUGAACCUUGGGUCCCAGUCUGAUAUGAUGGACGUCGGUACUCCGUGUAAUAGCACAAUUUCCUGAAUGUACCUCUUUGCCAUCUCCUCUACAGUAUAUCCGACGCGAUAAGGAAUGAAGUGAGCCGAUUUCGUCAGGCGGUCCACUAUUACCCAGAUGGCGUCAUUCCUUCUUUUACUCUUUGGUAAUCCUACUACAAAGUCCAUGGCAAUGUGUUCCCAUUUCCAGGUGGGUAGUUCCAUACGUUGCAUUAAUCCUGCCGGCCUCCCAUGUUCUAUUUUGAUUCGUUGACAGAUCAUGCAUUUGGCAACAAACUCUGCAAUUUCCUUUUUCAUUCCUCUCCACCAUAAGUCCCUUCGAAUCGUGUGAUACAUCUUGGUUGUCCCUGGGUGAAUAUUAUAUUUAGAGCAAUGAGCUGCUUGCAAUAUUUCCCUUUUUAGUUCUGGUAUAUUUGGUACCCACAAUCUACCUUGUAUUCGCACGCCCUCCGGUCCAAUUGGCCCAAUCUUCUGGUGUGGCUUGGUAGUUGUUGUACGCCAUUCCGGUGAAUCUUGCAUCGACCUUUGGGCAUCUUUGAUUCUUUGUAUCAAUGCUGACUCUAUGUUGAGGUUUGCUUGGACCGUAUAUUGUUGUGUAGUGGUUGUUACAUUCAUGGAGAUCACUUCUUCCAUCAAUCUCCAUUCUCUCACCAACAUGCUUGCCAACAUUAUACUCCCCUUUCUGCUUAAAGCAUCGGCUACCGAGUUUGCUUUCCCCGGGUGGUAAUGUAUCGAGAACUCAUAAUCCUUCACAAAUUCCAACCAUCUUCUCUGUCGUAGAUUUAGGUGUUCCUGGGUGAAGAUGUAUCGUAGACUUUGGUGAUCCGUAUAUAUCCUAAACUCUUCACCGUACAAGUAGUGUCUCCAUAACUUGAGGGCGAAGACUACUGCGGCAAACUCUAAGUCGUGUGUUGGGUAGUUCCGUUCGUGGUUCUUUAACUGUCUGGACGCAUAGGCGACUGCGUGACCCCUUUGCAUCAAAACACAACCUAACCCAAUUCCCGAGGCGUCGCAGUAAACUUCAUAACCCUCGCUUCCCGAAGGUAGGGUUAACACUGGUGCCGUGGUUAAGGCUUCCUUUAGUGCUUGGAAACUCCCUUCACACUCACUUGUCCAUACGUACCUCACCCUUUUCCUAGUGAGAUGGGUGAGUGGUGCUGCGAUUUUCGCGAAGUCCUUGAUGAAUCGACGGUAGUACCCUGCCAAACCCAAAAAACUUCGAAUUUCCAUCACCGUUUUGGGUUGCGGCCACUGACUUACUGCUGCCACCUUGCUAGGGUCCACUGCUACCCCUUCCUUAGAAAUCACAUGUCCCAAGAAUGACACCCUUUCCAGCCAGAAUUCACACUUAGAAAGCUUUGCGAAUAGUUGAUUUUGACGCAAAACCUCCAAAACUUCUCGUAGGUGCCUCCGAUGAGUCUCCUGAUCAGGUGAAUAGAUCAAUAUGUCGUCCACAAAGACUAUGACGGAAUUAUCCAACUGCUUAUGGAAGACUCGGUUCAUUAAGCUCAUGAAUGCCGCAGGUGCGUUAGUUAGGCCAAACGGCAUCACCGUAAAUUCGUAAUGCCCAUACCUACUUCGGAAUGCAGUCUUGUUGAUAUCUUCUUCUCUUAUCCGUAGUUGGUGGUAGCCGGUUCGUAAAUCAAUCUUGGAAAAUAUUGCCGCUCCUUGAAGUUGAUCAAAGAGAUCGUUUAUUCUUGGCAACGGAUAACGAUUUUUAACUGUUAACUUGUUCAACAUUCGAUAAUCAAUGCAGAGUCGGAGGGUCCCAUCUUUCUUCUUCACGAAUAUCACUGGUGCACCCCAUGGAGACACGCUUGGUCUAAUAAAGCCCUUGUCUAGAAGUUCUUCAAGCUGAGCCUUCAGUUCCUUCAAUUCUGCAGGUGCCAUCCGGUAAGGUGCCUUGGAUUGAGGCGUCGCCCCCGGUACCAGUUCUAUCGUGAAUUCCACCUUCCGUUAUGGGGGUAGUCCAAACUCUUCUGGGAAAACAUCUUUGAAUUCUUGCACGACAUCCCUGGCAUGCAUGUUCCUCUGGCUUUCCUCGACUGAUACCGUCGUCACCAUUACUGCAUACUCAUCAUUAUUACUUGGGCGAUAUCGAGUCGAUGUGAUCGCCUUUUUCCUCUUGUUCCCAGUUAUGAACCAAGGCUCCGACCCGGUGCUCUUAACAGAAACUCGAUGUUGACGACAGUGAAUCGUCGCGUCGUGGCGUGCUAGCCAAUCCAUUCCCAGAAUGAGAUCAAAUUCUUCCAUGGGUAACCAUAUCAAGUUCGCUUCCAUUACAUGUCCCUCCACCACUAAUGCUACUCCGUGGUAUAUGCUGCCCGUAUGGAUCAUCUUUCCGAGUGGUGUAGCCACUCGGAACUCAUGCAUGUACUGUGAUGGCUCUAAACUUAGUGUUUUGGCAAAUCUAUAUGCGAUGAACGAGUGGGUCGACCCCGAGUCGAACAAUCCUCGCGCCAUGUGUCCCUCCACCAGGACUCGACCUGAUGCAGAGUUAUCAAUUCUAUGUUCAUACCAUAUGUCCCCCUCAACUCUCCGUAAUAUUAUAAGGAAACCAAAAAAAAAAACAAUUCGACAUACCUGUGAUGACCUCGUUUGUUGUUUCCACUCCAUCGUCUGUAAUAGCAAAUGCUCUUGCUGAUACUAUUCGACGUUGUUCCUCAGUCCCUCGAGCAUCCAUUCUCCGAUCAGUUGAAGGAUCCACAGGCCUUUCCUGUGCAGCUCCCUUCUUCCUACCCUCCUGACAGUCCUUCGCAAAAUGACCUUGUCCUCCGCAAUGGUAGCAUGCCCCGAUUGCUUGUAACAAGGUUUAUUGGGGUGCAUCUUGUUACAAUAGCUGCAUGGUUUUGCCGUCGUAAUCGCCACCGCCUGGCUUUGAGAAUUUGGGCCCAUCUUUGAUUUCUUUCCUCCUCCGGGAUGAACCGCCUCAUCUGAAGGUUUCUUCCGACUCUGAGAUCUUUUGAUUUCCUUUUCUAAGCUAUCGGCUAGUGCGGUUGCCUCGGUCAAUGUCUUGAUUCUCGCUGACAUGACUUGCAUCUUAAUGCUACUGUCCAGGCCAGCGAUGAACUUCCUUGUCCGUUCUUCCUCAUCUUCGCACAAGGUUGGAAAGUGUCGUUCCAGUCUGACGAAUCGGGUGGCAUAUUCUGGAACUGACAAUGUCCCUUGACUCAGACUCCGAAACUCGUCCUUUAGCUCAUCCAUCAGAUGCCUUGGUAAAUAUUUCUCCUUGAAUUCCACUUUGAACGUUUCCAAAUCUACUUCAUCAUCUUCCGGAAACUUAACAUCUUUGGUUCCCGUCCACCAUUCCAGUGCAUCCUCUUGUAACAUGUAUCCUGCGAAAUCAACCUUCCUUGUUGCUGGGCAUCGUAGUAGCCUGAAACAGGUUUCGAUGGAUCGGAGCCAAUUUAUGGCUUUGGUGAUGUCGCAUCCUCCCACAAAAGCCGGUGGAUGAGUUUUCAUAAACUCUGCGAACGUUACUUCUCUCUCAACUGGUAGUACCAGUCUUCGUGGAGGCAUCUAGGAUAAGGAUGCACCUUAUUAGUUCCAGAAAAUCUGUUUUAUGAUCAGAGUUUAUUCAAAGGACGUAAAAAUAUGUACUACUUAAUUUGUCAUUCCAUACAUUCCCUAAAUUUUCAUUUACCUUACCCAUGGUCUGGACUGGAUCUGGGUUCUGAAUUUCACACAUGAAUGCACCGAUAGAGUUUGUUGGAGUGUAAUAACCAUAAUUUUUCCUUAAUUUAAAACUUAAAAUGUUACCCUCAAAUUUAACAUAACACUCAACAAGAUCCAUAUGCCCGAGUGGGCAUACACCGAAAACAAAACAAAAUCAAGUGCUAGCGGAAAACAAAUAAAUCCCUAAAUUAAUUCAUAUCCUUGGAUCCCAUUCAUGUGUGAAUCCCUCGUUCCAGUCCAUCCUAUGCUAUCGCUUAUCCUGAAAAAAAUAUCAUUCGUGGUAAGUUUCAAAACUUAGUACAUGGAUAUCUAUUAAAUCUAUUAGUUCAUAAAUUCUUCCUUUUCCUUUACAUGGAUCAUCGGUUAACCCUCCCCAUGCCGUCAAACCCCGACGGGUCAUAUAGCCUCGUCAGGCCCGUUAAGUUCCAUUCGUUCCUUGUAUCGUCAAAUCCCUAAGGAUCCGUAAAUUCGUAUAAUGGCAUAAAAGAAAAUUGGGAGAUCGCAUGGUCUAAUAAAAACCCAAAAUGCACAAAAAAAAACCAAAGGUGAUGUAAAACCUUAAAUAAUAAAAUGGUCAGACCCACCUAUCGAUUUUAUUGAUUAAAAUCGAUUCGAUGAGCGUCCCAUGUAGGUGUCCGAGCCUUAAGCAAGUGCUUCUAUAGCCCUA